rnacentral:rRNA from 1 species
GAUGAACGCUGGCGGCGUGCCUAAUACAUGCAAGUCGAGCGAACGGACGAGAAGCUUGCUUCUCUGAUGUUAGCGGCGGACGGGUGAGUAACACGUGGAUAACCUACCUAUAAGACUGGGAUAACUUCGGGAAACCGGAGCUAAUACCGGAUAAUAUUUUGAACCGCAUGGUUCAAAAGUGAAAGACGGUCUUGCUGUCACUUAUAGAUGGAUCCGCGCUGCAUUAGCUAGUUGGUAAGGUAACGGCUUACCAAGGCAACGAUGCAUAGCCGACCUAAGAGGGUGAUCGGCCACACUGGAACUGAGACACGGUCCAGACUCCUACGGGAGGCAGCAGUAGGGAAUCUUCCGCAAUGGGCGAAAGCCUGACGGAGCAACGCCGCGUGAGUGAUGAAGGUCUUCGGAUCGUAAAACUCUGUUAUUAGGGAAGAACAUAUGUGUAAGUAACUGUGCACAUCUUGACGGUACCUAAUCAGAAAGCCACGGCUAACUACGUG